UCUACGGGAGGCAGCAGUGGGGAAUAUUGGGCAAUGGGCGCAAGCCUGACCCAGCAACGCCGCGUGAAGGAAGAAGGCUUUCGGGUUGUAAACUUCUUUUAAGGGGGACGAACAAAUGACGGUACCCCUUGAAUAAGCCACGGCUAACUACGUGCCAGCAGCCGCGGUAAUACGUAGGUGGCAAGCGUUAUCCGGAUUGAUUGGGUGUAAAGGGCGGGUAGGCGGGGGCGCAAGGCAGAUGUGAAAACGCGGGGCUCAACCCUGAGCCUGCAUUUGAAACUGUGUUUCUUGAGUGCUGGAGAGGCAAUCGGAAUUCCGUGUGUAGCGGUGAAAUGCGUAGAUAUACGGAGGAACACCAGUGGCGAAGGCGGAUUGCUGGACAGUAACUGACGCUGAGGCGCGAAAGCGUGGGGAGCAAACAGGAUUAGAUACCCUUGUAGUC
rnacentral:rRNA from 1 species